GACGAACGCUGGCGGCGUGCUUAACACAUGCAAGUCGAACGGAAAGGCCCUGCUUUUGUGGGGUGCUCGAGUGGCGAACGGGUGAGUAACACGUGAGUAACCUGCCCUUGACUUUGGGAUAACUUCAGGAAACUGGGGCUAAUACCGGAUAGGAGCUCCUGCUGCAUGGUGGGGGUUGGAAAGUUUCGGCGGUUGGGGUUGGACUUCCGGCUAUUCAGCUUGUUGGUGGGGUAGUGAUUUACCAAGGCUUUGCCGGGUGGCCGGCCGGGGGGGGUGACGGCCAAAGUGGGGAUGGAGUGACGCCCAGACCACGUACGGAGGGAAGAGGGGGGAAAAGUUGCACAUGGGACGGAGGCUGAUGCAGCAACGCCGCGUGCGGGAUGACGGCCUUCGGGUUGUAAACCGCUUUCGCCUGUGACGAAGCGUGAGUGACGGUAAUGGGUAAAGAAGCACCGGCUAACUACGUG
rnacentral:rRNA from 1 species